GAAGUUUUAAGUUAAUUAAACUAAAAGCCUUCAAAGCUUUAAUUAAGAUUGUAUUCUUAAACUUCU
rnacentral:tRNA from 1 species